rnacentral:rRNA from 1 species
UCGCCCUUCGGGGUGCCCAGGCGCGAAAACUUUACAAUGCCGGCAACGGCGAUAAGGGAACCUCGAGUGACAGGUUACAAAUCUGGCUGUCGUGAUGCCUAAAAAGCAUUGCAUAGCAAGGGCCGGGCAAGACCGGUGCCAGCCGCCGCGGUAACACCGGCGGCUCGAGUGGUAACCGUUAUUAUUGAGUCUAAAGGGUCUGUAGCCGGCCGGGUAAGUCUCUUGGGAAAUCUGGCAGCUUAACUGUCAGGCUUUCAGGAGAUACUGCCUGGCUCGAGGCCGGGAGAGGUGAGAGGUACUUCAGGGGUAGGGGUGAAAUCUUGUAAUCCUUGAAGGACCACCAGUGGCGAAGGCGUCUCACCAGAACGGACCUGACGGCAAGGGACGAAAGCUAGGGGCACGAACCGGAUUAGAUACCCGGGUAGUCCUAGCCGUAAACGAUACUCGCUAGGUGUCGGCCACGGUGCGACCGUGGUCGGUGCCGUAGGGAAGCCGUGAAGCGAGCCACCUGGGAAGUACGGCCGCAAGGCUGAAACUUAAAGGAAUUGGCGGGGGAGCAC